rnacentral:lncRNA from 1 species
CCUGCUCAAUGUGAAAAAAAAAGACUUUUUUUUUCCUUUUUAGAGAGGAAAUUACAGAGAACUGUAAUUCUUUUCUAGGUAAAUUGUAGACUCCUAGGCCUCGAAGAAGGCCUUUGGGAUUGUCUUCUCUCAGCGCAGCGAUGUCUUUAGUUUUAUAGCACUGGUCCACCUGGCCGCCUCUGCGUGUACAUUCAGGCAUCUUCUGGCCCCAUGACGAGGGCUCAGAAGUUCUCACAUCUGACUCCAAAUCAAAGCAGAGUACCUCCUCGGGCUCCCGGGUGAUAAUCCGGUUACUGUUAUGUUGUUUAAGUUUUACAUUUUGGAUCUCCUCCUCAUUACGGAAGUUGCCCUUUCUCACUGUGACCCUUGCUCUCUGGAACUGUAUCAGAGCUUAUUUUCUUGUCCUUCAACCAAAAUAGUAAACAAAUAGGGCUCUUCUCAAAACCAGCAUGGCAAGUCCUUUGGCCAAGUGUUGUGGCCUGUUGGUAUAGAUUUACCCGUGACAUUUUUAGUCGGUCUUCGAGUUAUUCGCUUUACAAGUAUCAGCCAGACCCUGGUUUGCUGGAGGUACAGCCUCAUCCGUCUGGGUCUCAGCAGAUGUUUGCAGGCUGCUUACUCACGAGCUCCCAGUUCCUUGUUUUCUGUCAGUGUGAGAAAUUAAGGUCUUGUCUGAAUUGUUUUAUUAGCAGCUGCCUCGUCUCCCAUCCUCCCACUUUUUGAAAAUACUUUCAGUAUUUACAUGAUCAGAAUAGCCUGAACAUGCCCUCUGGCCUCACUAUUAGCCUCAUUAAAAGCCUGGCUGCAGCUGUUAGUAAACUUAGUUUGACUUGCAUAAUCUUAGUUAAAGUAAAGCUUUUUGCUUUUACCAUCGUGUCUUCAGAAGGCUUAAUGGCAUAGAACCAUUGAUUUCUCUACCCUGCAGGUUAGGUUGCUUUUUUUUUUUUUUGAUUGAGGUAUAGUUGAUUUCCAGUGUGUUGGUUUCAGGUAAGAGCAAAGUGAUUUUAGUGGUCACUAGUAUAUCUAGCGAUUCCAGAUGUAGAUAUGUACAUAUAUCUUCUUUUUCAAAUUCUUUUCCAUUAAAGUUUAUUAUAAGAUAUUGAAUAAAGUUAUUGUGCUGUCCAACAGGUCCUUAUCAUUUAGCUGUUUUAGAUUGCAUUCUGGUUUAACACAGAAGCAGCUGUUUUACACUCUUGAGCAAUUCAGUUAUUUGUACUUUGUUCGCUACUCUCAGCCUUGGGUUUGUAUUUCACCACUN